rnacentral:rRNA from 1 species
AGUGAACGCUGGCGGUAGGCCUAACACAUGCAAGUCGAACGGCAGCACAGUAAGAGCUUGCUCUUACGGGUGGCGAGUGGCGUACGGGUGAGGAAUACAUCGGAAUCUACUUUUUCGUGGGGGAUAACGUAGGGAAACUUACGCUAAUACCGCAUACGACCUACGGGUGAAAGCAGGGGAUCUUCGGACCUUGCGCGAUUGAAUGAGCCGAUGUCGGAUUAGCUAGUUGGCGGGGUAAAGGCCCACCAAGGCGACGAUCCGUAGCUGGUCUGAGAGGAUGAUAAGCCACACUGGAACUGAGACACGGUCCAGACUCCUACGGGAGGCAGCAGUGGGGAAUAUUGGACAAUGGGCGCAAGCCUGAUCCAGCCAUACCGCGUGGGUGAAGAAGGCCUUCGGGUUGUAAAGCCCUUUUGUUGGGAAAGAAAAGCAGCAGGUUAAUACCCCGCUGUUCUGACGGUACCCAAAGAAUAAGCACCGGCUAACUUCGUG